rnacentral:rRNA from 1 species
GCCACGAGACCGAACAAGUGUAAAGUUGAAAAGAACUUUGAAGAGAGAGUUCAACGAGUACGUGAAACCGUUCGGGGGACGAGACCCGAUGAACGCGUCGGCGAGGAUUCAGUUUCGGCCGGACCGAUCUUCCUCCAAUGGAACGUCGCGACUCGUUGGGAAGCGGUCGUGGAGUUCGGUUAAUGUUCGCCGGAGUCCCGACGGCACGCCGCGCCGGGUUGGCUGUGGUCGUUCAUCAGAUUUCGUAGGCGCCCUG